AACUUGAAACUGACAAUGACUGUAACAUUAUUUGACCAAUUCCUUAGCCCACCUUGUUUAAGAUGCCAUUAAUUGCUAUCGCAUAGUAUCCCCAUGAUUACUUCACCAUGUAGUAACAAACACGAUUUUCUUCAGAACGUUUAUUAAGUGUUAAAAAAGUUUUCUGUUUUCUGCCUUAACCUAACACAUUUUUCAACCCUUAGGUCCUUUAGGACAUAAGUGAGCCCUUAUAUUCGUAUCCUUAUUUAUAUUCUUAAUUACUCUAAACGUAUAGGACUUCUUCCCUAUACAUUUACACCUACUACACAGCUUUCUCUUACAUUCUCACUUGCUCUCCCCUUAUGAUUAGCAACCGUAACUAAUCGGCUUUUCGACUUGAUCCAACACGAGCCCUCGCUCAUAUACUACCCCAAGGAACUCCUCCCUUAUUAAUUCCUGUCCUAAUUAUUAUUGAAACAAUUAGUGUAAUAAUUCGUCCGUUAGCUUUAGCUGUUCGGCUUAUAGCUAAUCUGACCGCAGGUCAUCUCCUUAUUCAUUUAAUUUCCACGGGAGUUUUCUUAUUAACUUCUAUAAUACCUAUAGCAGCUAUUCUAGCAUUAGCACUUUUAGGACUUCUAACACUUCUAGAAAUUGCAGUAGCCGUAAUUCAAGCUUAUGUAUUUGUACUUCUACUAAGCCUUUAUUUACUAGAGAACGUCUAAUGGCCCAU